CGGGGAAUAUUGCACAAUGGGGGAAACCCUGAUGCAGCGACGCCGCGUGAACGAAGAAGGUAUUCGUAUCGUAAAGUUCUGUCCUAUGGGAAGAUAAUGACAGUACCAUAGAAGAAAGCUCCGGCUAAAUACGUGCCAGCAGCCGCGGUAAUACGUAUGGAGCGAGCGUUGUCCGGAAUUAUUGGGCGUAAAGGGUACGCAGGCGGUUUAAUAAGUCGAAUGUUAAAGAUCGGGGCUCAACCCCGUAAAGCAUUGGAAACUGAUAAACUUGAGUAGUGGAGAGGAAAGUGGAAUUCCUAGUGUAGUGGUGAAAUACGUAGAUAUUAGGAGGAAUACCAGUAGCGAAGGCGACUUUCUGGACACAAACUGACGCUGAGGUACGAAAGCGUGGGGAGCAAACAGG
rnacentral:rRNA from 1 species